rnacentral:rRNA from 1 species
CUUUCUUUGCUGGCGACCGGCGCACGGGUGAGUAUCACGUAUCCAACCUGCCCUUUACUCGGGGAUAGCCUUUCGAAAGAAAGAUUAAUACCCGAUAGCAUAAUGAUUCCGCAUGGUUUCAUUAUUAAAGGAUUCCGGUAAAGGAUGGGGAUGCGUUCCAUUAGGUUGUUGGUGGGGUAACGGCCCACCAAGCCUUCGAUGGAUAGGGGUUCUGAGAGGAAGGUCCCCCACAUUGGAACUGAGACACGGUCCAA